UACAGAGGUGGCAAGCGUUGGUCGGAAUUACUGGGCGUAAAGGGCGCGUAGGCGGCCUUCUAAGUCAGACGUGAAAUCCCCCGGCUUAACCUGGGAACUGCGUCUGAUACUGGGAGGCUUGAGUAUGGGAGAGGGAUGUAGAAUUCCAGGUGUAGCGGUGAAAUGCGUAGAUAUCUGGAGGAAUACCGGUGGCGAAGGCGGCAUCCUGGACCAUUACUGACGCUGAGGCGCGAAAGCUAGGGGAGCAAACGGG
rnacentral:rRNA from 1 species